AUUGCCCUAGUAACGGCGAGUGAAGCGGCAACAGCUCAAAUUUGAAAUCUGGCCUUCGGGUCCGAGUUGUAAUUUGUAGAGGAUGCUUUUGGUGAGGUACCUUCCGAGUUCCCUGGAACGGGACGCCAUAGAGGGUGAGAGCCCCGUCUGGUUGGAUACCGAUCCUCUGUAAAGCUCCUUCGACGAGUCGAGUAGUUUGGGAAUGCUGCUCUAAAUGGGAGGUAUAUGUCUUCUAAAGCUAAAUAUUGGCCAGAGACCGAUAGCGCACAAGUAGAGUGAUCGAAAGAUGAAAAGCACUUUGAAAAGAGAGUUAAAAAGUACGUGAAAUUGUUGAAAGGGAAGCGCUCAUGACCAGACUUGGGCUUGGUUGAUCAUCCAGGGUUCUCCCUGGUGCACUCUUCCAGCUCAGGCCAGCAUCAGUUCGCUGUGGGGGAUAAAGGCUUCGGGAAUGUGGCUCCUCCGGGAGUGUUAUAGCCCGCUGCGUAAUACCCUGUGGUGGACUGAGGUUCGCGCAUCUGCAAGGAUGCUGGCGUAAUGGUCAUCAGCGACCCGUCUUGAAACACGGACCAAGGAGUCGUCUUCGUAUGCGAGUGUUCGGGUGUUAAACCCCUACGCGUAAUGAAAGUGAACGCAGGUGAGAGCUUCGGCGCAUCAUCGACCGAUCCUGAUGUUCUCGGAUGGAUUUGAGUAAGAGCAUACGGGGCCGGACCCGAAAGAAGGUGAACUAUGCCUGUAUAGGGUGAAGCCAGAGGAAACUCUGGUGGAGGCUCGCAGCGGUUCUGACGUGCAAAUCGAUCGUCAAAUAUGGGCAUGGGGGCGAAAGACUAAU
rnacentral:rRNA from 1 species